UAGGGAAUCUUCCGCAAUGGACGAAAGUCUGACGGAGCAACGCCGCGUGCGUGAAGAAGGAUUUCGGUUCGUAAAACUCUGUUGUUAGGGAAGAAAAAAUGUAUAGUAACUAUAUACAAAAGAGACGGUACCUAACCAGAAAGCCACGGCUAACUACGUGCCAGCAGCCGCGGUAAUACGUAGGUGGCAAGCGUUGUCCGGAAUUAUUGGGCGUAAAGCGCGCGCAGGUGGUUUGGAAAGUCUGAUGUGAAAGCCCACGGCUCAACCGUGGAGGGUCAUUGGAAACUAAAAAACUUGAGUGCAGGAGGGAAAAGUGGAAUUCCUAGUGUAGCGGUGAAAUGCGUAGAGAUAAGGAGGAACACCGGUGGCGAAAGCGGCUUUUUGGCCUGAAACUGACACUGAGGCGCGAAAGCGUGGGGAGCAAACAGG
rnacentral:rRNA from 1 species